rnacentral:rRNA from 1 species
AUUGAACGCUGGCGGCAGGCCUAACACAUGCAAGUCGAGCGGAGCGGCGGACGGGUGAGUAAUACCUAGGAAUCUGCCAGGUCGUGGGGGAUAACGUUCGGAAACGGACGCUAAUACCGCAUACUCUCAGCUGAGCCUAGGCCGGAUUAGCUAGUUGUUGAGGUAAUGGCACACCAAGGCUUCGAUCCGGAACUGGGCUGAGAGGAGGAUCAGUCACACGGGAACGGAUACACGGGCCAGACUCCUACGGGAGGCAGCAGUGGGGAAUAUGGGACAAUGGGCGAAAGCCUGAUCCAGCCAUGCCGCGUGUGUGAAGAAGGUCUUCGGAUUGUAAAGCACUUUAAGGUGGGAGGCGUUACCGACAGAAUAAGCACCGGCUAACUCUGUGCCAGCAGCCGCGGUAAUUC